rnacentral:piRNA from 2 species
GAGGAUAAAACAGAGACCAUGACAAACAGC